rnacentral:rRNA from 1 species
GGGCAAGCUGGCGCGUGCCUAAUACAUGCAAGUCGAGCGGACAGAUGGGAGCUUGCUCCCUGAUGUUAGCGGCGGACGGGUGAGUAACACGUGGGUAACCUGCCUGUAAGACUGGGAUAACUCCGGGAAACCGGGGCUAAUACCGGAUGGUUGUUUGAACCGCAUGGUUCAGACAUAAAAGGUGGCUUCGGCUACCACUUACAGAUGGACCCGCGGCGCAUUAGCUAGUUGGUGAGGUAACGGCUCACCAAGGCAACGAUGCGUAGCCGACCUGAGAGGGUGAUCGGCCACACUGGGACUGAGACACGGCCCAGACUCCUACGGGAGGCAGCAGUAGGGAAUCUUCCGCAAUGGACGAAAGUCUGACGGAGCAACGCCGCGUGAGUGAUGAAGGUUUUCGGAUCGUAAAGCUCUGUUGUUAGGGAAGAACAAGUGCCGUUCAAAUAGGGCGGCACCUUGACGGUACCUAACCAGAAAGCCACGGCUAACUACGUGCCAGCAGCCGCGGUAAUACGUAGGUGGCAAGCGUUGUCCGGAAUUAUUGGGCGUAAAGGGCUCGCAGGCGGUUUCUUAAGUCUGAUGUGAAAGCCCCCGGCUCAACCGGGGAGGGUCAUUGGAAACUGGGGAACUUGAGUGCAGAAGAGGAGAGUGGAAUUCCACGUGUAGCGGUGAAAUGCGUAGAGAUGUGGAGGAACACCAGUGGCGAAGGCGACUCUCUGGUCUGUAACUGACGCUGAGGAGCGAAAGCGUGGGGAGCGAACAGGAUUAGAUACCCUGGUAGUCCACGCCGUAAACGAUGAGUGCUAAGUGUUAGGGGGUUUCCGCCCCUUAGUGCUGCAGCUAACGCAUUAAGCACUCCGCCUGGGGAGUACGGUCGCAAGACUGAAACUCAAAGGAAUUGACAGGGGCCCGCACAACCGGUGGAGCAUGUGGUUUAAUUCAAAGCAACGCGAAGAACCUUACCAGGUCUUGACAUCCUCUGACAAUCCUAGAGAUAGGACUUCCCCUUCCGGGGCAAAGGACAGGUGAUGCAUGGUUGUCGUCACCUCCGGUCAUGAAAUGUUGGGUUAAUUCCCGAACCAACCCCAACCCUUGAUCUUAAUUGCCAGCAUUCCGUUGGGCACCCUAAGGGAACGCCCG